rnacentral:rRNA from 1 species
GUGUCAGCAGCCGCGGUAAUACGUAGGGGGCAAGCGUUGUCCGGAUUUACUGGGUGUAAAGGGCGCGCAGGCGGAUCGAUAAGUCAGAGGUGAAAUCCUGCAGCUCAACUGCAGAACUGCCUUUGAUACUGCUGAUCUUGAGUGCGGAAGAGAGAGACGGAAUUCCAGGUGUAGUGGUGAAAUACGUAGAUAUCUGGAAGAACACCAGUUGCGAAGGCGGUCUCUUGGUCCGUUACUGACGCUCAGGCGCGAAAGCGUGGGUAGCAAACAGGAUUAGAUACCCCAGUAGUCC